GCCUCCUUAGCUCAGUGGUAGAGUAUUUGCAUGGUAAGCAAAAAGCCGCCGGUUCAAUACCGGCAGGAGGCU
rnacentral:tRNA from 1 species